AGAUUUCCCUGGCAGGGGAGAUACCAUGAUCGUGAAGGUGGUUCACCCAGGGUGAGGCUCACCCAUUGCACUCCAGAUGUGCUGACUCCUGUGGUUUCCCCAAAUGUGAGAAAGUGAACUACCUAAUUUGGGGUAGUGAGGGACUGUGUUUGUGCUCUCUCCUU
ensembl:snRNA U1 U1 spliceosomal RNA